AUUGAACGCUGGCGGCAGGCCUAACACAUGCAAGUCGAACGAGUGGCGGACGGGUGAGCAAUGUCUGGGAAACUGCCUGAUGGAGGGGGAUAACUACUGGAAACGGUAGCUAAUACCGCAUACCAUCGGAUGUGCCCAGUUGGGAUUAGGUAGUAGGUGGGGGAAAGGGUAACCUAGGCGACGAUCCCUAGCUGGUCUGAGAGGAGUAACGGCCACACUGGGACUUAGACACGGCCCAGACUCCUGCGGGAGGCAGCAGUGGGGAAUAUUGCACAAUGGGCGCAAGCCUGAUGCAGCCAUGCCGCGUGUGUGAAGAAGGCCCUAGGGUUGUAAAGUACCUUCCGUCGUGAAGCGUUACCGACAGAAGAAGCACCGGCUAACUCCGUGCCAGCAGCCGCGGUAAUUC
rnacentral:rRNA from 1 species